ensembl:lncRNA
GGACUUAAAGAUACCCGAUUUAAACUGUAGCCCAGAAUUGGUGGCCAUGGAUUAGCCAAUUAAUAAUCUUUAAUAACUACUCUAACGUCAGGCACCCUUACAGGAAUGAUUUCAUCUGACCAUGUCCACAUCUCUGCAAGGCUUUAAACUAGAAUAAGAAAUGCUGUUCAACACCUUCCCUGGCAGUAGGCAUCCGAUGGAGUGGUGACUUCCAAGCUCUUUCAAGCUGAACCAGAAGACAGAAUUUGAAACAUUUUUCUUUAAGGAAGGAUUCUGCUCACAUGUUUUGUUUAAUCUGCUAACCUGCUUUUAGACUUUUCUGGCUUAAGAGAUUUUCAUAAAGAUCAAGUAUUUCAUAAUUUUACUAUAUCUUGCCUUAAAAAUAUAAGACACUAGAGCAAAUUAUUUUAGAGAAACAAUUCUCCUCCAUAAAAAAAAAAAAAAAGCAACAUCAAGAGAAUGAGGAAACAAACUAUAGACUGGAAGAAAAUACUUAUAAAACACAUAUCUGAUGAAGGACGGUUAUACAAAGAACUCUUAAAACUCAAUAAUAAGAGAAUGAACAACUCAAAUAAAAACGGACAAG